GACGAACGCUGGCGGCGUGCCUAACACAUGCAAGUCGCACGGGAUUUGGGGGCAACUCCAAAUUCAGUGGCAGACGGGUGCGUAACACGUGAGCAACUUGUCCGACGGCGGGGGAUAGCCGGCCUAACGGCCGGGUAAUACCGCGUACGCUCAUUUGGGGACAUCCCUGGGUGAGGAAAGCCGUAAGGCACCGACGGAGGGGCUCGCGGCCUAUCAGCUAGUUGGCGGGGUAAUGGCCCACCAAGGCGACGACGGGUAGCUGGUCUGAGAGGACGAUCAGCCACAUUGGGACUGAGACACGGCCCAGACUCCUACGGGAGGCAGCAGUGGGGAAUAUUGCGCAAUGGCCGCAAGGCUGACGCAGCGACGCCGCGUGUGGGAUGACGGCCUUCGGGUUGUAAACCACUGUCGGGAGGGACGAAUACUCGGCUUUGCCGAGGGUGACGGUACCUCCAAAGGAAGCACCGGCUAACUCCGUGC
rnacentral:rRNA from 1 species